GAUCAAGCUACUAAGAGCAUACGGUGGAUGCCUUGGCACGAGAAGGCGAUGAAGGACGUGGUAAGCUGCGAUAAGCCUCGGGGAGGUGCAAACAACCUUUGAUCCGGGGAUUUCCGAAUGGGGCAACCUGAUGCGGGUCAUGCUGCAUCAUCCUCAGGUGAAUACAUAGCCUGAGCGAAGCUAACGGAGCGAACUGAACCAUCUAAGUAGCUCUAGGAAGAGAAAGCAAACGCGAUUCCCCUAGUAGUGGCGAGCGAAAAGGGAAAAGCUCAAACCGUCUGUAUGUAUAAGCCUGUGCGCGUUGUGCAGACGGGGUUGUGGGGCAUUGUUGGGCAAGGUCACAGCCUUGCCGGGAAGUUACAAAUCGGCGCUAUAGUCGAAGUGUUCUGGAAAGUUCGACCAUAGAAGGUGAUAGUCCUGUAGACGAAAUAGCCGCCGACUUCCUGGACAGUGUUCCCGAGUACUACGGGACACGUGAAAUCCUGUAGGAAUCCGGAGGGACCAUCCUCCAAAGCUAAAUACUCUCUCGUGACCGAUAGCGCACUAGUACCGGUGAGGGAAAGGUGAAAAGCACUCCGAGUAGGAGAGUGAAAUAGUUCCUGAAACCGUAUGCUUACAAGCAGUCGGAGGGCGCUUCGGCGCCUGACGGCGUGCCUUUUGCAUAAUGAGCCGGCGAGUUACUGUAUGCAGCAAGGUUAACUUACUAAGUAAGGAAGCCGCAGCGAAAGCGAGUCUGAAUAGGGCGAUAGAGUUGCAUGCAGUAGACCCGAAGCUAGGUGAUCUACCCAUGGUCAGGAUGAAGCGGGAGUAAAAUCUCGUGGAGGUCCGAACUGGUGAAUGUUGAAAAAUUCUCGGAUGAACUGUGGGUAGGGGUGAAAGGCCAAUCAAACCUAGAGAUAGCUGGUUCUCCCCGAAAUAGCUUUAGGGCUAGCCUCUUGGCAAGAGUCGUGGAGGUAGAGCACUGGAUCGGCUAGGGGCCCUACAAGGUUACCAAACCGAACCAAACUCCGAAUGCCAUUGACUUGUUCCAAGGGAGUCAGCUUACGAGGGAUAAACUCCGUAGGCAAGAGGGAAACAACCCAGACCGCCAGCUAAGGUCCCAAAGUGUGAGCUAAGUGACCAUAAGGAUGUGAGGUUGCAUAGACAGCUAGGAUGUUGGCUUAGAAGCAGCCAUCAUUUAAAGAGUGCGUAAUUGCUCACUAGUCGAGUGGUCUUGCGCCGAUAAUGUAUCGGGGCUAAGCUCAUCACCGAAGCUGCGGACUCCGUGCUUCGUUCGCGAAGUGCGGUUUGGUAGGGGAGCGUUCCAUAGUAGGAUGAAGGUGGACCGACAAGGUCUGCUGGACGAGAUGGAAGUGAUAAUGUCGGCAUGAGUAGCGAAAAGCAGGUGAGAAUCCUGCUCACCGAAAAUCUAAGGUUUCCCGGGGCAGGUUCGUCCUCCUGGGGUUAGUCGGGACCUAAGCUGAGGCCGAAAGGCGUAAGUGAUGGACAACAGGUUAAAAUUCCUGUACUACCGGCAAGGCGUUUGAGCUAUGGGGUGACGCAGGAGUGAAAGGUCAGCCAGCGACUGGAAAUGCUGGUCCAAGCCCGUAGGAGGGUUGCUCAGGCAAAUCCGAGCAACCACUACUCCGAGAGGUGAUGGGGAGCUGCCUAGCAGCAUAAACUGACCCUAAUCAUACUGCCGAGAAAAACCUCUAUGCGAGCAAUGCAGGUACCCGUACCGCAAACCGACACAGGUAGAUGAGGAGAGUAUCCAAAGGUGAGCGAGAGAACCCUCGUUAAGGAACUCGGCAAAAUGAUCCCGUAACUUCGGAAGAAGGGAUGCCUUGAGUAGGUGAAGCCCCUCGCGGGUGGAGCCCAAAGAGGCCACAGAUAAUCGGGCUGGGCGACUGUUUACCAAAAACACAGGUCUCUGCUAAGCCGUAAGGCGAAGUAUAGGGACUGACACGUGCCCGGUGCGGGUAAGUUAAAAGGAGGGGUUAGCCGCAAGGCGAAGCUCCGAAUUGAAGCUCCCGUAAACGGCGGCCGUAACUAUAACGGUCCUAAGGUAGCGAAAUUCCUCGUCGGCCAAAAACCGACCUGCACGAAUCGUGUAACGACUUGGCCGCUGUCUCAACGAGGGACUCGGUGAAAUUGUAGUUCCAGUGAAGAUGCUGGAUACCCGCGGCAGGACAGAAAGACCCCGUGAACCUUCACUAUAGCCUGGCAUUGGAUUUUGACACUGCAUGUGUAGGAUAGGUGGGAGGCUAUGAAGUGGGGACGUCAGUCUCCAUGGAGCCGUCGUUGAAAUACCACCCUUGUUUUGUUAAGAUUCUAACCUUGGUCCUUGAAACAGGAUCGGGGACAGUACCAGGUGGGUAGUUUGACUGGGGCGGUCGCCUCCUAAAAGGUAACGGAGGCGCCCAAUGGUUCCCUCAGCGCGGUCGGUAAUCGCGCGUAGAGUGUAAACGCAUACAGGGAGCUUGACUGCGAGACCUACAAGUCGAGCAGGUACGAAAGUAGGGGUUAGUGAUCCGACGGUUGCACAUGGAAGCGCCGAAGCUCAACGGAUAAAAGGUACUCCGGGGAUAACAGGCUUAUCGCGCCCAAGCGCUCAUAGCGACGGCGCGGUUUGGCACCUCGAUGUCGGCUCAUCGCAUCCUGGGGCUGGAGAAGGUCCCAAGGGUUGGGCUGUUCGCCCAUUAAAGCGAUACGCGAGCUGGGUUCAGAACGUCGUGAGACAGUUCGGUCCCUAUCCGCCGUGGGUGUAGGAUAUUUGAGGAGAUCUGUCCCUAGUACGAGAGGACCGGGAUGGACGAACCUCUGGUGUACCAGCUGUUCCGCCAGGAGCAUCGCUGGGUAGCUACGUUCGGAAGGGAUAAACGCUGAAGGCAUCUAAGCGUCAAGCCCACUCCAAAACUAGAUAUCCCGUGGGGUAACCCACCUAAAGGCCCCUCGUAGACUACGAGGUUGAUAGGUUGCAAGUGGAAGCGCAGUAAUGCGUGAAGCUGAGCAAUACUAAUUGGCCGUGAGGCUUGAUC
rnacentral:rRNA from 1 species